UUUUUGGAAAUCCGUUUUUGAUUGUGAGCAACGAAACAAGACAUUGUUUACAUGGGAGCGCGAAAGACAGCAGAGGCACUCGCAGACACGACGUAAAAAGUGACCAUGAUUAUGAA